rfam:Hepatitis C virus subtype 1a isolate HCV-1a/TS/BID-V212/1990, complete genome
UGCAGCCUCCAGGACCCCCCCUCCCGGGAGAGCCAUAGUGGUCUGCGGAACCGGUGAGUACACCGGAAUUGCCAGGACGACCGGGUCCUUUCUUGGAUAAACCCGCUCAAUGCCUGGAGAUUUGGGCGUGCCCCCGCAAGACUGCUAGCCGAGUAGUGUUGGGUCGCGAAAGGCCUUGUGGUACUGCCUGAUAGGGUGCUUGCGAGUGCCCCGGGAGGUCUCGUAGACCGUGCACCAUGAGCACGAAUC